ACCCGCUAGCUAGCUUAACUAUUAAUAUAAUUUACAAAUGUUUAUAACAGAACAAGACCUUACAACAUAAAUUAAACCAUUUUUUUACCUGAGUAUGGGAGACAGAAAAGGUUCACCCUUAAAGCGAUAGAGAAAGUACCGCAAGGGAAAGCUGAAAGAGAUAUGAAAUAGCCCAUAUAAGUACCAUAAAACAAAGAUUAAACCUUGUACCUUUUGCAUCAUGAUUUAGCCAGUAACCCCAAGCGAAGAGACCUUUAGUUUGAAACCCCGAAACCAAGUGAGCUACCCCGAGACAGCCUAUAUUAACUUAGGGCUAACCCGUCUCUGUAGCAAAAGAGUGGGGAGAGCUCCGGGUAGAAGUGACAGACCUACCGAACUUGGUGAUAGCUGGUUGCCUGAGAAGUGGAUAGAAGUUCAGCCUCACGCCCCCCAAAUCAGAGAACUGGAAAUUAAGAUUCUUAGGGAGAUGCGCGAGAGUUAGUUGAAGGGGGUACAGCCCCUUUAACAAAGGAUACAACCUUCACAGGAGGAUAAAGAUCAUAAUACGUAAGACAUACUGUUCUAGUGGGCCUGAAAGCAGCCACCUAAGCAGAAAGCGUUAAAGCUCGGACAGAUGGAAGUUUAUUAUACCGAUAGUAAAUCUUAUUCCCCUAACUAUAUCAGACCAACCCAUGCCCACAUGGAAGAGAUUAUGCUAAAAUGAGUAACAAGAAGAUAUGAUCUUCUCCCGGCACAGGCGUAAACCAGAUCGGACAAGCCGCUGGAAAUUAACGAACCCAACCCAAGAGGGAACUGUGAACAAUGUAGACUUCAGGAAGAGCUCACAAUUAGGUGAUCGUUAACCCCACACUGGCGUGCCAUUUUAAGGGAAAGACUAAAAGAAGGGGAAGGAACUCGGCAAACACAAGCCUCGCCUGUUUACCAAAAACAUCGCCUCCUGCGGUUAUCAAGUAUAGGAGGUCCAGCCUGCCCGGUGACUAUGGGUUUAACGGCCGCGGUAUUUUGACCGUGCAAAGGUAGCGCAAUCACUUGUCUCUUAAAUAGAGACCUGUAUGAACGGCUAGACGAGGGCUUAACUGUCUCCCCCUUCUGGUCAGUGAAAUUGAUCUAUCCGUGCAGAAGCGGGUAUGAAUACACAAGACGAGAAGACCCUUUGGAGCUUAAGGUACAAGAUUCAACCACGUUAAACGACUUCCCGAAAAGCGCGAACUUAGUGGCGCCUGAAAUUUUACCUUCGGUUGGGGCGACCACGGAGGAAAAGUAAGCCUCCGAGUGGACUGGGCCUACUCCCUAAAGCCAAAAGAUACAUCUUUAGGCCGCAGUAUAGCUGACCAAAAAUGAUCCGGCCAAAGGCCGAUCAACGGACCAAGUUACCCUAGGGAUAACAGCGCAAUCCUCUCCCAGAGCCCAUAUCGACGAGGGGGUUUACGACCUCGAUGUUGGAUCAGGACAUCCUAAUGGUGCAGCCGCUAUUAAGGGUUCGUUUGUUCAACGAUUAAAGUCCUACGUGAUCUGAGUUCAGACCGGAGUAAUCCAGGUCAGUUUCUAUCUGUAACGCUACUUUUUCUAGUACGAAAGGAUCGGGAAAGAGGGGCCUAUGCUUAUAGUAUGCCCCGCCCCUAAUUGAUGAGGACAAAUGAAUUAAGUAAAGGGAGGGCCGAAGCCCUGCCAUCCAAGAUAAGGAUAU
rnacentral:rRNA from 1 species